CUGCAGGCUCCCUAUCAUUAUCAGCACCACAUUCAGCUAAGAUGAAGACAACACAUAUGCUGCUCUUCGCUCUCAUACUCCUCGUGCUAUCAGCAGAGGUUGCAGUGAAGGCAUCAAAAGUUACGGGAAUCGAAAAUUGUGCAGGGGUGCUCAAACAAACGCCUAUACCAUGUGAUACUCCGAGUUGCCUCUUUGUUUGUCGUGGGGUUGCCCAUGAGAACACGGGAUGCCCUGAAUGCACUUGGACCGGCGAGUGCAUUCCCGAAGGAUGCAAGUGCACUGUGUGCACCCCGAACAACAAGAAAGAAACUGAUACUAGCUUGUACACAUAGCAUGGUACUUUCACUAUAAUAAAAAUACGGAGUAGCAUCUUUUACGUA